rnacentral:rRNA from 1 species
AGAGUUUGAUCCUGGCUCAGGACGAACGCUGGCGGCACGCUUAACACAUGCAAGUCGAACGAGAGAAGAGGAGCUUGCUUUUCUGAUCUAGUGGCGGACGGGUGAGUAACACGUGAGCAAUCUGCCUUUCAGAGGGGGAUACCGAUUGGGAACGAUCGUUAAUACCGCAUAACAUAAUUGAACCGCAUGAUUUGAUUAUCAAAGAUUUAUCGCUGAAAGAUGAGCUCGCGUCUGAUUAGCUAGUUGGUAAGGUAACGGCUUACCAAGGCGACGAUCAGUAGCCGGACUGAGAGGUUGAUCGGCCACAUUGGGACUGAGACACGGCCCAGACUCCUACGGGAGGCAGCAGUGGGGAAUAUUGCACAAUGGAGGAAACUCUGAUGCAGCGAUGCCGCGUGAGGGAAGAAGGUUUUAGGAUUGUAAACCUCUGUCUUCAGGGACGAAAAAAGACGGUACCUGAGGAGGAAGCUCCGGCUAACUACGUGCCAGCAGCCGCGGUAAUACGUAGGGAGCGAGCGUUGUCCGUAAUUACUGGGUGUAAAGGGAGCGUAGGCGGGAUCGCAAGUCAGAUGUGAAAACUAUGGGCUUAACCCAUAAACUGCAUUUGAAACUGUGGUUCUUGAGUGAAGUAGAGGUAAGCGGAAUUCCUAGUGUAGCGGUGAAAUGCGUAGAUAUUAGGAGGAACAUCAGUGGCGAAGGCGGCUUACUGGGCUUUAACUGACGCUGAGGCUCGAAAGCGUGGGGAGCAAACAGGAUUAGAUACCCUGGUAGUCCACGCCGUAAACGAUGAUUACUAGGUGUGGGGGGACUGACCCCUUCCGUGCCGCAGCAAACGCAAUAAGUAAUCCACCUGGGGAGUACGACCGCAAGGUUGAAACUCAAAGGAAUUGACGGGGGCCCGCACAAGCAGUGGAGUAUGUGGAUUAAUUCGAAGCAACGCGAAGAACCUUACCAGGUCUUGACAUCGUAUGCAUAGCUCAGAGAUGAGUGAAAUCUCUUCGGAGACAUAUAGACAGGUGGUGCAUGGUUGUCGUCAGCUCGUGUCGUGAGAUGUUGGGUUAAGUCCCGCAACGAGCGCAACCCUUACUGUUAGUUGCUACGCAAGAGCACUCUAGCAGGACUGCCGUUGACAAAACGGAGGAAGGUGGGGAUGACGUCAAAUCAUCAUGCCCCUUAUGACCUGGGCCUCACACGUACUACAAUGGCUGUCAACAGAGGGAAGCAAAGCCGCGAGGCGGAGCGAACCCCUAAAAGCAGUCUUAGUUCGGAUUGUAGGCUGCAACCCGCCUACAUGAAGUCGGAAUUGCUAGUAAUCGCAGAUCAGCAUGCUGCGGUGAAUACGUUCCCGGGCCUUGUACACACCGCCCGUCACGCCAUGGGAGUCGGUAACACCCGAAGCCUGUAGUCUAACCGCAAGGAGGACGCAGUCGAAGGUGGGAUUGAUGACUGGGGUGAAGUCGUAACAAGGUA